rnacentral:lncRNA from 1 species
CCUUUUUUUUUUUUUUUUUUUUGCAAGACCAUGGAGUUGAAACCCAAGCCCCUAAUUUUAGUGUCUUGCUCUGGAGUUCCACUGAGGAAAAGUCCUGGAAACCACAAAAGGAAAACUCAGGGCCCGUGGUACUCAUUAAGACCAUUUUUCCACUUGACUGCACUGUUUAUUCAAGUACUGUCAGUUUCUAUCUUAGAUGACCGUUCCCUUAAUUACCAGAAAAGGUGUUUCGACUGCAUUCUCCCCAACCCCCAGAGCCACAUAACAGUGCUUGGUACAUGGGGGGAUCUUGCCAUAGAAGCUGGCAUGUUCUUGUAGCUAGACACUCAUCAGUAUGGUUUGCAAAAACAAUCCGAUCACCGGAGGCUGAAAACUCAAUCCUAAGGUAAAAAUGUCCUUCGGUAAAAGCAGCCGGCAUAGUGUCUAGCUGUGCAAACAACCAGCUUCCAGGUGAAGAACUUUGUAAUGGU